rnacentral:rRNA from 1 species
UACGGAAGGCAGCAGUGGGGAAUAUUGCACAAUGGGCGCAAGCCUGAUGCAGCCAUGCCGCGUGUAUGAAGAAGGCCUUCGGGUUGUAAAGUACUUUUCAGUCGUGAGGAAGGUGUUAAGGUUAAUAACCUUAGCAAUUGACGUUAGCGACAGAAGAAGCACCGGCUAACUCCGUGCCAGCAGCCGCGGUAAUACGGAGGGUGCGAGCGUUAAUCGGAAUUACUGGGCGUAAAGGGCACGCAGGCGGUUAAUUAAGUUGGAUGUGAAAUCCCCGGGCUUAACCUGGGAAUGGCAUUCAAGACUGGUUAGCUAGAGUCUUGUAGAGGGGGUAGAAUUCCAUGUGUAGCGGUGAAAUGCGUAGAGAUGUGGAGGAAUACCGGUGGCGAAGGCGGCCCCUGGACAAAGGCUGACGCUCAUGUGCGAAAGCGUGGGGAGCAAACG